AACGCAAAUGGCACUCUAUGGUAUUCCGUAGAGUACGUCUGUUUGAGCGUCGCGAACAUCUCCAUAAUUAGUUUUUUUAAAAUUAAUUAAGGGUUUUGAGGUUGUCAUUGUAUUAUGACUCCCUUUAAAAUAAUUAGUGAUGACCUUAUGAAUGGGUUAAUACUGUGUGUUAUAAUGGAUUACAUCCAUCACCAGUCAGAGAGUAAUCUCGCCUUAGUAAUUUGUAGUGAUUGCUUCUAAUCGCCUUUAUUGGCAAAUUAAAUGAUCAAAUCGACCUCAAAUCAGAUGGGAUUACCCGCUGAACUUAA
rnacentral:misc_RNA from 2 species